GACGAACGCUGGCGGCGUGCCUAAUACAUGCAAGUAGAACGCACAGUUUAUACCGUAGCUUGCUACACCAUAGACUGUGAGUUGCGAACGGGUGAGUAACGCGUAGGUAACCUGCCUGGUAGCGGGGGAUAACUAUUGGAAACGAUAGCUAAUACCGCAUAAUAUUAAUUAUUGCAUGAUAAUUAAUUGAAAGGUGCAAUUGCACCACUACCAGAUGGACCUGCGUUGUAUUAGCUAGUAGGUGAGGUAACGGCUCACGUAGGCGACGAUACAUAGCCGACCUGAGAGGGUGAUCGGCCACACUGGGACUGAGACACGGCCCAGACUCCUACGGGAGGCAGCAGUAGGGAAUCUUCGGCAAUGGACGAAAGUCUGACCGAGCAACGCCGCGUGAGUGAAGAAGGUUUUCGGAUCGUAAAGCUCUGUUGUAAGAGAAGAACGGGUGUGAGAGUGGAAAGUUCACACUGUGACGGUAUCUUACCAGAAAGGGACGGCUAACUACGUG
rnacentral:rRNA from 1 species